CCUACGGGAGGCUGCAGUGAGGAAUAUUGGUCAAUGGGCGGGAGCCUGAACCAGCCAAGUCGCGUGAGGGAAGACGGUCCUAUGGAUUGUAAACCUCUUUAGGCGGGGAGCAAUGCCGGGCACGCGUGCCCGGAGGGAGAGUACCUGCAGAAUAAGCAUCGGCUAACUCCGUGCCAGCAGCCGCGGUAAUACGGAGGAUGCGAGCGUUAUCCGGAUUUAUUGGGUUUAAAGGGAGCGUAGGUGGAUUGUUAAGUCAGUUGUGAAAGUUUGCGGCUCAACCGUAAAAUUGCAGUUGAAACUGGCAGGCUUGAGUACAGUAGAGGUGGGCGGAAUGCGUGGUGUAGCGGUGAAAUGCUUAGAGAUCACGAAGAACUCCGAUUGCGAAGGCAGCUCACUGGACUGCAACUGACACUGAGGCUCGAAAGUGUGGGUAGCAAACAGGAUUAGAUACCCGGGUAGUC
rnacentral:rRNA from 1 species